CGACUGAGCCACCCAGGAGCCCCUGGAAUUUAGCAUUUUUUAAAUACAUGAAAAAUUUAAGAAUUUGCAUUUAUUUUUAUGUUGCUUAUUUUUGUCUUACUUUUGUAAUCAAAUAACUUAUACUAAAAUUAACACAUAAGAAUUGAGGAUACAAUUAUCUAUCUCACAUGCUUUGUCUUUAUUCUUUUUCUUUAAUUGUCUUAAUUUUUGUUCUAAUUUUUCACUUUGUUUUUAUGUUUUCAAGCCACGCUUUUCUCUUUUUGUCCUUUUCUUUAUGCUACUUCUAGUAAUUAUACUUUUUAAAAAGUGAGAUGGAUCAUUUUGGGGAUGAGUAAAACAUACCAAUUUGGGAUUCGAUUCCAAAUAUCCAAUGAACGUGUGUAGAAAAAUAUUCAGGUUAUUUUUUCAAUUUGAAUACAGUAAUCUAUGUGGAAACCUAAUGGGGACAGAUGUUCUGAAAAAUGGUUACAUUUACAAUCAAGAUUAGAGUCUCCUGAAGAAUAGGAAAUAAAAGAUCUUUGUGAAGCAUUUCAAAAUCAAAGACAAAGCAGAAAUCAUGCAAUUAGAUAUAGGAAAGCAUAUGAAGAUGUUCAAGUUCAAUAAUACAGUCUGGUUAAAAUUAAAGAGAAGGAAAGUAUGAUCAAUAAAGCUUAAGUAUAUAAUUCAGCCAUCAAUUUCUAUCUUGUUUCCAAAUUUCAGAUUGCUAAUAAAAUUAUUAUGAUAUCAUUAUCACAAUGUUAAGUAAUUACAAAACCCACAAAUUAUAUAUAAAAAUGAUUAUUAAAAUAUGUAAUAAUAAAGUCAUUAUUCUUGUGUAUAGGUAAAAUAUAAUGAUUGCUUUUUAAAUUCAGGGUAUAAUAAAUGUCAUGGUGUGAUCAAUGAUAGUACAGGAUCAAAGUUUGAGAUGAGGUCAAUAAAACCACAAACAACCUUACAUUAUUUUCAGUGGAUUUCUACACACGAUGACAAAACAGCUGUGCUUCAAGCCUGCCUUUACAACAAAUUAUGAAUAGGCAUGAAAACAAUGACAAUUACUGUAGCUAUAAAAGGAUCCAUUGCCCAUAGAUGUUUAAAUUGUUCCAUAUCACUUAGGUUGAUAUAUAAAAUCUCGUGUUAUCAAGAGGGCAGUAAACUUAGCCCUACUAUCAUAGAUGAGUUAAUACUUGGAAUGUUUAAAUGAUGUGCCCAAGUCAAAUAACCAGCUAUUAAAUAAAGAAGAAAGGGCGUGUAAGUCUACUCCAUGAGGCAACUGAGGAGAUAAGAUGUUGCAUAAACCGUAAAGUUUGGAGGCAUCUCUAAUUUUUAAUAAAUGUUAAGUAAAAGAAAUAUAUGCAAAACGGUUAAUAACCAAAUGAGAUUGAAAGGCUCAUAAUGAAAACCAGCUACUCCGUUUUCUACCUUCCCCACCCCUUUUGACACCCCUUCCCUGACCACUUCCUGCUCCAGGUACCGUUCCCCAAAAGCAACUACUUUUAAUUAUUUAGCUGUUUCUUCUGUUAGUUACACUAAGGCUCAACAGUAUAAAAAAACCAAGUAACCGAAAUAAUGCAUGUAGCAACCAACUCUAUUACCAAGUCUUAAAUGUUUCAGAAACACAGAAACUUAGUGCCAUCAGUGAGAAUAUCAACGGUCAUUUUAUAGAAGUGCUAAUCAAUAGAUUUUUGUGAGAGGAAAUGAUGGACAACAGACCUUUUUUGUAUAUAGGAUUUUGUGGUCAGCUCUUUUUAUUUUCACUGAAGACAAAAGUCAUCUCUGUAAUAUCAUGGUAUUCAGAGAGAAUUAUGUUGGCGUACACUUUGAGUAGGAUUGUCUCCACAGCAAAGUAGCAUCUGCCCAAUAAAAUGUUCCCUUGAAGCAUCCCUUGGCAAUCUUUGUCUUGGCAAAGGCAGUCCUCUGGUCAUGUUACCUGGCGUUGGUCUUUUGAGGACAACAGAGUUAGUGGAUGCAGGCUCUGAACCCAGCCUUUGUACAUGCUUCGUGAUGGGCAGGGACUGGAUGAAAUCUGUUCACAGAGAGCUGUCAGUUGUCGGGUGGGUACCUAUGGGAUCUAUCAAGCAUCACAGCAAAUUCUGCCUUAUACUGUCAAUGCUUUACGUUAUCUCCAAAAUUGCAUCUUUCUUUAACUAGUAUCUGGUGGGAUAGAGAUAGCCUUUCAGAGGCUAGGUGUUAUCUCCUAUAAGCUGUCGUAUUUUUAUUGCUUGCCUUCAAAUCUUAAGGGGCAAGAAGUACGAAGAAGCCGUCAUUUAUUAUUUUUAUGACAAUAUAUUAAACUGGAUUAUUAAUGCCCAUCUUAUUUUCAUAAUCGUAUGCUAAAAAAUGGAUUGUCAAGGUGUAGAGACACCCAGAGAUCAUGGAAUUUAAAAAAAGGAGAUUCCUUCAUCUCAGAUGCUACUGUUGAAGUGUCCAACUAUUUCCUUCCCUGUACUGAAGUGGAACAAGGAAAGCUAGACCUCCUUAAAUGAUGCUCUAAAGACUGCUUAAGUAAUUGGAUACAUUGUCAGUGGCUGUCAGGAAGAAGGUCGUAGAAUACCACACUCAGUGGCUCUUUAUCUGGGUUCAGCGAUAAAUGCCAGCUCAGUUCACUCAGUCAGCUUGCCUCCCUAAUGAUAUGCUGAAGCAUUAAAAAUGGAUUUCUUCUUUGUCAAUAGUACAUCAUGUAUAUCUAAAAUGAGUGGCAGUUUUCCACUCUAAUUUGGUCCUUAGAAUUUUCUUUUUCUUUCUCUCUCUCUCUCUCUUUUUUUUUUAGGAAGUUGGUACAUGAACUUGGUUCGUGACACAGCGAUAGCUCUACAGAUUUUCAGUUUUGAAAAGUAGAGGGGUAUCACAGAAAGAUGAGUAGCCAGAAUCUUUGGUGUAUGUGCCGCCGAAGCGAGCCCAGGAAGAGCUGUUUACACGCUAUUUCCGUAACGCAUGGCCAGGGUUAAACCAGUUCCACAGAAAUGUACUUUUCAUCAUGAUAACUUGUGAAUACGAAAAAUUACUUGAAGGCAUUUUUUUCCCCCUUCUACCUUGGAAGAGCAGAGGGCUAAUACGCCAUUCUCAUUGUUCUUCCUGGGAGUGCUGUACAUCUGGGUCGGACUUCCUAAUGAAAUGGUGGCCUUUCUGAUGAGUCCAGCUGGUCAGUGACAUGGCGUGGCCCUGUUUUGAGAUGAACGCAGCGUGGAGUCAAGGGAGAGAGACGGUCGGCGCUCCCUUGAAGGCUGGGCCGUGGGGAAGAAGGCCUCACAGAACAAUUGGCCAAGGCGUGGCCCAAUGAUUAGCAGGUGCUGCCCUCUCUGCCCUUGGCUGUGUUUCCUGGCCAGCGAAGAAGCUUAUCUCAACACGCUUGGAACGGAUGAAGACAUGGAUGUUUCCCAAUUGUUUGACUUCUAACCUUCCUGGGUGACCUGCAUGUCACUAGCUGAGAGGCCACAGCAGAGCCCGGAUGGGGCCUCCCGGCUUCUAGGGUGGAUUGCCAACUAACGAAUAAGGCCAUUUGAUGCCGGUCUCGAGGUUAGAAGUCAACAGUCAGGAUUUUCAAAACAUCAUCUCUUAAAGACGUUACUAAGUGGACACACAUCAUCCUUACAACUCCUGGAACUCAGAGAGGAAACCGUCUGACUUUGGAGCUGUUGCCAAUGAUGGCUUCAACGGGAUUUUCGUAAUAUUCGAGUAGAGUGACACCAGAAAUUUUUACAGAUCCUCAAAAUCUUCGAAAGGCAUUUAAGUAGUUGUGGCUACAUUAAAUCUUCUUGAAGAAGUAAAUAUCUUUUAAAGUAUGACAUUGAAUUGGGAUACGGGCACGGACACAGCUGAUGCUAUAAGUUUCUCUUCAGAAGUAAAUUAGUGUCAUUUCUUAUGGUUCAUUGUCAUGGAGGCAGCGGUGGCAGUAGAAGUUCUGGAAAGCCAUCAAAUUUACUCACUGAUCGCAUCCACAGGACCUGCACUUUGUUAAACAAUGCGCAUAGAAUGAUGAGCAAGUCAGGGACUGAAGACCUGUCAGUGGAAAUUUAUACUUUGUUUUUAAGUAAGAGAGAAGAAAUAUGAAUGACCCAGGAAAAAGAAGUGACCACAGUAAGUAACCUUUUUAAGACAUUCCUCUUUUCCUAACUUCCCAGAAGCGAUCACACUUAGCAAUGGGAGUUAAAUCCUCCAGUUCUCGUGGUUCUGUCCUUAUGUGAGUUCUCAAGCCGCCCCUGGGCUCUUAUCACAACCCAGAACCUCAAGUUUAAUGAACAAAUGCUCUACCUAAGAGAUACAGUUUUAUCUUCAAAUCUGUCACUUCAAAUGAAAAGCAGGCCCCUGAAUCUUUGAGCUAAGGAAUAGGGUCAUUCUGUUAGGGUCGAGUGGUAACAUGGAAAGUAUGUCCUAUUGAGAGAUCAUGUUCUCUGUUUUCUGAAGCAUAAACUGUGGUGGUAACUGAACAGGUAGUACUUUUCAGUGUUUGCAAAUUUUACUAAAACGUCAGGUAUACAUAGUAUCUAUAGACUCAUGUGUCUGUUCAAGAGUGAGCUUAUUUUGUUCUUAUUUUAUAUUUAACCCACUAAAUGAUGUACCUAUUUUUUCCCUUUCUGGUAUAAAUUUAAUUUGCUAUAGUAAUGCCUACAUUUGCUAGAAGUGAUUAUAUUAAUUAAUUCGAAAGCUGAAAGUUAUUUUCUUUAUUCUGUUGCAUAAAUAAAUGAUUGAAUGCCACUGCUUUUGGAUAAGCAUGGUCAAAUGAUAAUUGUGUUCAUAUUUUGGGAAUCAAUUUUAUAUUACUCUAAUUUGUUACAAUGCUUUUGUAUGUGCAAUAGUCUCUCGUUAAAUCAGGCAUUCCUUAAAUGGUAUUAAUUAACAUGUGUAAAAUCUACCUUGAAAACUCAUUUAAUUUUACAAAUUAUACUACUUCAUGACAGUAUCCCUGGAGCUUCAUCAAGUCUCCGAUUUCUAAAUAAUUUUGAAGUAAAAAGGAUUUUUAAUUAAAAAAAACCCAAAGUUCUUUUCACAAUCGUAUUUGGCAGGAAAACAUUGCAUCAUAGACUUUUAAGUGCCGCCUGGAUGAUUUCAUAAGAGUAGUUUUAUCUAUCCAGCCUGUAGUGUGCCUAUUAAGUGCUCAAUCUGGUUAGUAGGGCAAGGUCUCUACUUAUAAGUAGGAGACACUUCAUCAGGAGUUACUAUGAUACAAGUAAAUGUAAUGUUGUCAAUAGAACCAUGUCCUACUGACAUCCAGAGGGUAGAACCUUGAGAUAGAAGUGGAAGAAGAUGUCAAAGAGACCUUCACAGAGGAGCAAACAUUUCAGCUUGACCUUGAGGUCUGUGGGCUGAAAGACAUAUCUGGUAGGGGAGAUUUCAGUAUCAUUACUAUGGAGAUCAACAGACUGUUUGGGAAACAGGGAAGUUUGUUCAGUGAGGUUAGCACAUGGGAUUCAGUGAGGGUAGAGAAAGAAUAAUAGAAGGUAAGGCCAAGGAUACAGUUCAGGGUCAUAGUCUGAAUUUGAGAGUAGACAAUGACAAAUUGGACAAUGACAAUGGACAAUGGCAAUGACAAAUUAUCUAGUACAGGGCAGGAAAGGCAGUUUAUACUGAUGAAGAGUGGCUGUUGGGAACCCUCCUCUUAAGGGCCCUUUUGGAUUCAGGAGGAAAACUUAUGGCUACAAUCCAUUAUGACAGAGGUGAGGAAAAGGGGUCUGUGAUUUUGCAGAUACAAAUCUAAGGUUUCCAAGCAAAGGAUGGACAUACCUAAAUCUGUAAUUCGAAGAACAAAACAAACAAAACAGUUCUCUGGUAUCAGUAGAGAAGAUGGAUUAGAGAGAAGGGAAGUCAGAGUUUGGUUUGAAGGUCUUUGUAAUAAUUCAGAUAUACGAUGAUCAGACAUGAGUUCGAGCAGUGAUAAAGAAAAUGGAAAGGAGUGGCAUGGCAGAAACACCAGGGCAGAACAAACUUCUUAAGACUGAUUGGAUCUGGAGGGUGAAAGAAAAAGAAAAGUCUAAGACUCUAAGUCAGUAUUUAGUUUAUGGAUUUGAGUGACUGUGGAAUCAGCCAUUUAUUGCUGCAUACCAAACAACUCUCGCAUUCAGUGGCUUAAAUAACAAGCAUUUCAUAACCUUGUGAAUCUGUAGGUCUAGUGAAGUUCUCCUGAUGCAGUUUGGGCUUAUUGAUGGGGCUUUCUUCAGGCAGAGGCGGCUAGGGAAGCUAUACUUAGCAUUGCAGGUUUGGGGAGCUGCUGGAGCAAUUCUCCUUGACGUGUCUCUCUCAUCGUCCUUGUCCCAACGUGUUUGUGUGAUACCGUGAUCUCUAGUAAGAGAUGUAUAUUUGGUCUUCAUACCCUAUU